ACAGGCUCGGUCACAUUGCAUUUUGGAGUUGAUGCAAGCAGCAUUAAGGAGAGGUACUUUGUACCAGUAUCCUACAGUUCUGGACUGGUCUGUCUUGUGAAUGCCAAAUUCAGCAUCUGAUCAGUUUUUAAAAGAAGUCAAAAUGCAUCAUUCAGCAUAUAAAACCAGCCACCCUUUACAAACAGAAGAACAAGAGACAGGCUUCGAUCCUCUACAGAGAUACAGCAACAAAAAUGAAGAAGGAGGAAAAAAUGCAAAUCAGAUAGAGAGAACCUCAGAAGCCAUUGGCACACCCAGUUCCUACAGGUAAGCAU